GACGAACGCUGGCGGCGUGCUUAACACAUGCAAGUCGAACGGAAAGGCCCUGCUUUUGUGGGGUGCUCGAGUGGCGAACGGGUGAGUAACACGUGAGUAACCUGCCCUUGACUUUGGGAUAACUUCAGGAAACUGGGGCUAAUACCGGAUAGGAGCUCCUGCUGCAUGGUGGGGGUUGGAAAGUUUCGGCGGUUGGGGAUGGACUCGCGGCUUAUCAGCUUGUUGGUGGGGUAGUGGCUUACCAAGGGUUUGACGGGUCGCCGGCCUGAGAGGGUGAACGGCCACAUGGGGACUACGGUACGGCGCAGACGCCUACGGGGGGCAGCAGGGGGGAGUAUGGCACAAUGGGCGGAAGCCGGAGGCAGCGACGCCGGGGGCGGGAUGACGGCCUGCGGGUUGUAAACCGCUGCCGCCUAAGACGAAGCGGGAGUGACGGUAAUGGGUAAAGAAGCACCGGCUAACUACGUG
rnacentral:rRNA from 1 species